GGAAAGGCGCGCGAUACAGGGUGACAGCCCCGUACACAAAAAUGCACAUGCUGUGAGCUCGAUGAGUAGGGCGGGACACGUGGUAUCCUGUCUGAAUAUGGGGGGACCAUCCUCCAAGGCUAAAUACUCCUGACUGACCGAUAGUGAACCAGUACCGUGAGGGAAAGGCGAAAAGAACCCCGGCGAGGGGAGUGAAAAAGAACCUGAAACCGUGUACGUACAAGCAGUGGGAGCACGCUUAGGCGUGUGACUGCGUACCUUUUGUAUAAUGGGUCAGCGACUUAUAUUCUGUAGCAAGGUUAACCGAAUAGGGGAGCCGAAGGGAAACCGAGUCUUAACUGGGCGUUAAGUUGCAGGGUAUAGACCCGAAACCCGGUGAUCUAGCCAUGGGCAGGUUGAAGGUUGGGUAACACUAACUGGAGGACCGAACCGACUAAUGUUGAAAAAUUAGCGGAUGACUUGUGGCUGGGGGUGAAAGGCCAAUCAAACCGGGAGAUAGCUGGUUCUCCCCGAAAGCUAUUUAGGUAGCGCCUCGUGAAUUCAUCUCCGGGGGUAGAGCACUGUUUCGGCAAGGGGGUCAUCCCGACUUACCAACCCGAUGCAAACUGCGAAUACCGGAGAAUGUUAUCACGGGAGACACACGGCGGGUGCUAACGUCCGUCGUGAAGAGGGAAACAACCCAGACCGCCAGCUAAGGUCCCAAAGUCAUGGUUAAGUGGGAAACGAUGUGGGAAGGCCCAGACAGCCAGGAUGUUGGCUUAGAAGCAGCCAUCAUUUAAAGAAAGCGUAAUAGCUCACUGGUCGAGUCGGCCUGCGCGGAAGAUGUAACGGGGCUAAACCAUGCACCGAAGCUGCGGCAGCGACGCUGAUGCGUUGUUGGGUAGGGGAGCGUUCUGUAAGCCUGCGAAGGUGUGCUGUGAGGCAUGCUGGAGGUAUCAGAAGUGCGAAUGCUGACAUAAGUAACGAUAAAGCGGGUGAAAAGCCCGCUCGCCGGAAGACCAAGGGUUCCUGUCCAACGUUAAUCGGGGCAGGGUGAGUCGACCCCUAAGGCGAGGCCGAAAGGCGUAGUCGAUGGGAAACAGGUUAAUAUUCCUGUACUUGGUGUUACUGCGAAGGGGGGACGGAGAAGGCUAUGUUGGCCGGGCGACGGUUGUCCCGGUUUAAGCGUGUAGGCUGGUUUUCCAGGCAAAUCCGGAAAAUCAAGGCUGAGGCGUGAUGACGAGGCACUACGGUGCUGAAGCAACAAAUGCCCUGCUUCCAGGAAAAGCCUCUAAGCAUCAGGUAACAUCAAAUCGUACCCCAAACCGACACAGGUGGUCAGGUAGAGAAUACCAAGGCGCUUGAGAGAACUCGGGUGAAGGAACUAGGCAAAAUGGUGCCGUAACUUCGGGAGAAGGCACGCUGAUAUGUAGGUGAAGUCCCUCGCGGAUGGAGCUGAAAUCAGUCGAAGAUACCAGCUGGCUGCAACUGUUUAUUAAAAACACAGCACUGUGCAAACACGAAAGUGGACGUAUACGGUGUGACGCCUGCCCGGUGCCGGAAGGUUAAUUGAUGGGGUUAGCGCAAGCGAAGCUCUUGAUCGAAGCCCCGGUAAACGGCGGCCGUAACUAUAACGGUCCUAAGGUAGCGAAAUUCCUUGUCGGGUAAGUUCCGACCUGCACGAAUGGCGUAAUGAUGGCCAGGCUGUCUCCACCCGAGACUCAGUGAAAUUGAACUCGCUGUGAAGAUGCAGUGUACCCGCGGCAAGACGGAAAGACCCCGUGAACCUUUACUAUAGCUUGACACUGAACAUUGAGCCUUGAUGUGUAGGAUAGGUGGGAGGCUUUGAAGUGUGGACGCCAGUCUGCAUGGAGCCGACCUUGAAAUACCACCCUUUAAUGUUUGAUGUUCUAACGUUGACCCGUAAUCCGGGUUGCGGACAGUGUCUGGUGGGUAGUUUGACUGGGGCGGUCUCCUCCUAAAGAGUAACGGAGGAGCACGAAGGUUGGCUAAUCCUGGUCGGACAUCAGGAGGUUAGUGCAAUGGCAUAAGCCAGCUUGACUGCGAGCGUGACGGCGCGAGCAGGUGCGAAAGCAGGUCAUAGUGAUCCGGUGGUUCUGAAUGGAAGGGCCAUCGCUCAACGGAUAAAAGGUACUCCGGGGAUAACAGGCUGAUACCGCCCAAGAGUUCAUAUCGACGGCGGUGUUUGGCACCUCGAUGUCGGCUCAUCACAUCCUGGGGCUGAAGUAGGUCCCAAGGGUAUGGCUGUUCGCCAUUUAAAGUGGUACGCGAGCUGGGUUUAGAACGUCGUGAGACAGUUCGGUCCCUAUCUGCCGUGGGCGCUGGAGAACUGAGGGGGGCUGCUCCUAGUACGAGAGGACCGGAGUGGACGCAUCACUGGUGUUCGGGUUGUCAUGCCAAUGGCACUGCCCGGUAGCUAAAUGCGGAAGAGAUAAGUGCUGAAAGCAUCUAAGCACGAAACUUGCCCCGAGAUGA
rnacentral:rRNA from 1 species